rnacentral:tRNA from 1 species
GCCUGGGUAGCUCAGUCGGUUAAGCAUCUGACUUCGGCUCAGGUCAUGAUCUCGCGGUUUGUGGGUUCGAGCCCCCGCAUUGGGCU